UACGUAGGUGGCGAGCGUUGUCCGGAAUUACUGGGUGUAAAGCGCGUGUAGGCGGGAGGCCAAGUCUGCGGUGAAAUCGCUCGGCUCAACUGGGCGGGGUCCGUGGAAACUGGUCACCUGGAGGACGGUAGAGGCGAGUGGAAUUCCCGGUGUAGUGGUGAAAUGCGUAGAGAUCGGGAGGAACACCAGUGGCGAAGGCGGCUCGCUGGGCCGGACCUGACGCUGAGACGCGAAGGCGUGGGGAGCGAACGGGAUUAGAUACCCCGGUAGUCCACGCAGUAAACGAUGCACACUAGGUGUGGGGGGUAUCGAGCCCCUCCGUGCCGUAGUUAACACAGUAAGUGUGCCACCUGGGGAGUACGGCCGCAAGGUUAAA
rnacentral:rRNA from 1 species